UAAGUUUUAGUGUUAAUAGCACUUUAUUUUUUGAAGAUAAAAGAAAUGGGUUAGUUCAUUAAACUUAA
rnacentral:tRNA from 1 species